rnacentral:lncRNA from 1 species
GCCAUCUUGGUUUGAUGGCCGGGUCACCGGACACAUUUUUUAAACUACUAACCCAAAAGAUGAUUGUGGCCAAGUUUGGAUUAAUUUGGCCCAGUAGUUUCAGAGGAGAAGAUUUUUGUAAAAUAUUACUAAGAUUUACGAAAAAUGGUUAAAAAUUGACUAUAAAGGGCAAUAACUCCUAAAGGGGUCAACUGACCAUUUCAGUCAUGUUGACUUAUUUGUAAAUCUUACUUUGUUGAACAUUAUUGCUGUUUACUGUUUAUCUCUAUCUAUAAUAAUAUUCAAGAUAAUAACCAAAAAGAGCAAAAUUUCCUUAAAAUUACUAAUUCAGGGGCAGCAACCCAACAACGGGUUAUCCGAUUCAUCUGAAAAUUUCAGGGCAGAUAGAUCUUCACCUGUUUAACAAUUCUACCUCUGUCAGAUUUGCUCUAAAUGCUUUGGUUUUUGAGUUAUAGGCCAAAAACUGCAUUUUACCCCUAUGUUCUAUUUUUAGCCAUGGCGGCCAUCUUGGAUGGUUGGCCGGGUCACCGGACACAUUUUUUAAACUAGAUACCCCAAUGAUGAUUGUGGCCAAGUUUAGUUUAAUUUGGCCCAGUAGUUUCAGAGG